rnacentral:tmRNA from 1 species
GCGUUUGCACACAGGGACAUGACGCCCUAUAUCGUUUCGGUCGGGUUCUACCCGGCUAUGGCGAUAAACUGCGGCGUAGACUAGGCGCAGCGGACCCGGGGGCGGUACCCGGCGGCUCCACCACUACCGGCUCGCAAGGGGCGGUAAUGACGGGGCCGAACUAGGAUCGACGUGUGUUGAAAGGCGCUGUUUUCGCUCGGAAUGGGACCACCGUAACGGCCCAUUACACAAGUGCCAACGAUAACGAAGCACUCGCGAUUGCGGCGUAACUGAGGGCCUCACGGCCUAAGGUUACUCCAAGAUAGCGCGGUUGGACCGCACCGGGCAACAGAAGCGGAAUCCAGCGGUACGGGGGGCACCGGGCAACAGAAGCUCCCCACU